AGGCUGAAGGGGAUGCUAAAGGAGACAAAGCCAAGGUGAAGGACGAGCCACAGAGAAGAUCUGCAAGGUUGUCUGCUGUAAGUGUGUGUGCUUCACUUUCCUCAUCCUUACCUGAGGUUGGGAAUCUUGGGGGGGGGGGUCUCUUUGAUUCCGUUGAAUUAUAGAUUGUGGCUGAUUUUGAAGAAGCUGUUCAUGAUGUUGCACUGUUGUCUUAAGUUCUGAUGCCUCUGACUACAGUGAAUAUAUCACUGUUCCGUUAUAAGAGGAAGACAAUCCUGAGAAGUAGUUUUCCAAAGUGUGGUUUGGUGAGUUGUUUGUUUCUCUGGUACUAAUGGCUUUCCUCUUCCCCUCUGCCUACCGAAAUAAGAAACCUGCUCCUCCAAAGCCAGAGCCCAAGCCUAAAAAGGCCCCUGCAAAGAAGGGAGAGAAGGUACCCAAGGGGAAGAAGGGGAAAGCGGAUGCUGGUAAGGAUGCGAAUAAUCCUGCAGAAAACGGAGAUGCCAAAACAGACCAGGCACAGAAAGCGGACGGUGCUGGAGAUGCCAAGUGACGUGUGUGCGUUUUUGAUAACUGUGUACUUCUGGUGACUGUACAGUUUGAAAUACUAUUUUUUAUCAAGUUUUAUAAAAAUGCAGAAUUUUGUUUUACUUUUUUUUUUUUUAAACUAUAUUGUUAGCACACGGAACACUUCAUUGUUGUGGGGGGAAGGAUCAUGUGUCACCAACAAAGUAUCACCCAAGCUGAAUUGAGGACAGAAAAUCUCUUUCCUUGAUAAUUUCAAAAGGUUCCUCUUGGCUUCCAGGAGA
rnacentral:lncRNA from 1 species